CAGUAGCCGCGGUAAUACGGAGGGUGCAAGCGUUAAUCGGAAUUACUGGGCGUAAAGCGCACGCAGGUGGUCUGACAAGUCAGAUGUGAAAUCCCCGGGCUUAACCUGGGAACUGCAUUUGAAACUGUCAGGCUGGAGUCUUGUAGAGGGGGGUGGAAUUCCAGGUGUAGCGGUGAAAUGCGUAGAGAUCUGGAGGAAUACCGGUGGCGAAGGCGGCCCCCUGGACAAAGACUGACGCUCAGGUGCGAAAGCGUGGGGAGCAAACAGGAUUAGAUACCCGGGUAGUCCCUGUCUCUUAUAC
rnacentral:rRNA from 1 species